CUCAACAUAACACCGACUGUGACGCAACAGUCUGGAUCAUUAAUAUGUACGCCACCAAAUUUUUCAUAUGCCAGCCCAUGUUCAAGGCCUUAGACAAGCCAGUAUUAACGUCUGGAGCAGCACAGCCGAAUCAACGGACUUUAUGCAGGUACACACAGUUCAUUCUCAUCCUGGUAGAAUCCAUCUGGACAUGCGCAUCCAUCAACGGGCACAAAGUCAACGCUGCAGCUUUGGCGCUCAGAGGCGAGAGAAAGACAGACCCCCCUUGUGACGACCUGGUUUGAAAACUCCUUGCCCAUCCAUCUGUCUGCCAAAUUAACUGCUUUCAGCCUUCUUACCACACACAAUUUCUCGCCAGCCUUGGAGGAAUAUUCCUUUAGCCGCACAGGCCCGGGCGUAUGAGGAGAACACCGUACACAGACAGUCCUCGCUCUUCUCACAGAUCAUACUUUGUAGUAGCUGUCUGGAUUGACACUGGCGUGACAUUUGGCAAAGAGGCUCUCCUUGUCCUUCAUCUUGGAACACCAGUGCUCAGCAAAGUGCUCUAAAGGCAUCAUAAAAUAUGGAACAAGGGUCGUCCAUCCUCUCAGUGCGGUCAGGGCAGUUGGAAAGGGCCUUCCAGGCAUUAGCGAAGGAAGCCGCUGUACCCUCCACCACUCCCUGAGGAGUCUUCAGACAGAGGUCUCACCACAAGUCUUGUCCUGGAAGCUUUGGUCCACAGUGAUGUACACCUGCAUAAGAGGCACCAGCUGUACCUGCACCUGCAGCCCAAAGGAGGUCUGAAGCAUGAUGUGAAAUGAUGACGGCAUGAACACCGUGAAGUCAGCUGGAGAAAAGAGACAAAGAGUUUGAAAAACAUUUCAUAUAUCUUUAUCACACAGGCUUUAAAGCACAGAAACAAAAUAAAGAGCUUCUUCUUC